ensembl:snRNA U4 U4 spliceosomal RNA
AGCUUUGUGCAGUGGCAGUAUCGUAGCUAAUGAGGUGUAUCCGAGGCGCGAUUAUUGCUAACUGAAACAAAUUGUAAUAUUCUAUGUAUGACUAGACUACAGUUUAUAAAUCUGUUUAUCAAUA